AUCAUUUAUCUAUCUAUAUGUUUAUCAUCUAAGAAUGUUUGCCUAUUUUUCCCUAUUUAUAUUAUGUAUCCGAUCUGUUCAUAUAUUAGCCUAUAAUUCCAUAAAACUUACCUUUUGCCACAACUACAUUUUGUAUAUUUAUCAGUCAAUUGUUAAAUAUAUGCAUUAUUCCCUCUAUCUACCUAGUUAUGGUCAUUCCUAUAUAUUCAGUCCUUUGUCUGCCUACCUACCUGCCCGUAUACGCAUACAGUAUGCCAGUUUAAAUAUGUUAGAGGGUUAGAAGUUGCCCCCGCAGGCCCCCCAGGUCCAUGUAUAAUGGACUGUAAGGGAAUGGGCUAAACCCUGUGCUGAGGAGCAAGAUGCAUAUAAACUGGCUAGAGGUGGGGCCCAACAUGCAUUAAAUACAGGGCAUGUUUGCUUGUAUGAAAACCUCCCUGGCUGGCACACACUGAGGGGAUAGGCUGUUGCUUUCUGUCUGCCUUGUUGCUGUGUGUGGGUGCAGCACUGCUGCCGUACCUGCCUAGGGUGACUGAUCUGGGCGCUGUAGGGCAUCGCCGCUUUAAAUUCAGCCCCUGAGGUCAUGUGCAGAGUUCAGCUCGGAUCGGAGCAUUCGUGAGCCGGGGAGCAGCACAAGUGUGUGGAUUUCCAGAAUUAUAGCCCAAGCCUGGGGUGAGUGACUGCCACUAAACCUUGACAUAUUCUGCAAGAGUGGAAAGCUUUCAAACAGACAAUGAUCCUCCUGAACCAGCCGCCCCCUUCAGUUUUAUCUCUAAAGGAAGCUCCUGUCUGAUUCUCAAGACAGUGUCUGGAUGCAAGUUAAAUUGGAUCUCCCUGAGCUUAAUGCUUUCCAGAUUUUACACCUAAAGUCACAAUUCACCAUUGAAGAGAUGCAGGAAGAGAGAUCUUGAGAACAAUGGUGAAUGAAGAAAAACACGGAUUAAGACCUAUUUGUUUCAAAUACAGCAGACUUAUGGGGAGGAACCGAACUAAUUAACCCAUGCUGUGCCAUUAAGGGGGAACAAACUGCAUUCAAAGCACUCAUGGAAGCAGUUGUGGGAGGAAUAUGACCGGAACAGCUGCUCUGAUGUGGUGUCUUCGCAGAAGUUUCAUUUCAGUGCUGCAAUAUGAUGACCAUUCAAAGAUGAAUUAUUUAAAAAGUAAACAAAGGAGGCCAGCUACAGGUUUAAGCCUUUCUUAGUGCUAUUAAAAAGCUAAUGAUGGAAAAUACUUUCUAACAUCAUUCAACUUAAUACAUAACAGGCAGUGUUUGUACACUCAGACCAUGGCUUGAUAAAUUUUACAUGUGAUUUAUUUCCUCUGUUGACUUUGAACCAUGCAUAAGAAUGAAAACACUGUACUAUUAAACGUUUUAAGUGUUGGCUUA